rnacentral:rRNA from 1 species
GAUGAACGCUGGCGGCGUGCUUAACACAUGCAAGUCGAACGAAGCAUUUCGGUCUUAAUCUUCGGAAGCGGACUGAUCUGACUGAGUGGCGGACGGGUGAGUAACGCGUGGGUAACCUGCCCUGUACAGGGGGAUAACAGUUAGAAAUGACUGCUAACACCGCAUAAGCGCACAGGAAGGCAUCUUUCGGUGUGAAAAUAUUUAUAGGUACAGGAUGGGCCCGCGUCUGAUUAGCCAGUUGGCAGGGUAACGGCCUACCAAAGCAACGAUCAGUAGCCGGCUUGAGAGAGUGAACGGCCACAUUGGGACUGAGACACGGCCCAAACUCCUACGGGAGGCAGCAGUGGGGAAUAUUACACAAUGGGGGAAACCCUGAUGCAGCGACGCCGCGUGAGUGAAGAAGUAUUUCGGUAUGUAAAGCUCUAUCAGCAGGGAAGAAAAUGGCGGUACCUGACUAAGAAGCCCCGGCUAACUACGUGCCAGCAGCCGCCGCUG